CCCUGACCGUGCAAAGGUAGCAUAAUCAUUUGCCUUUUAAUUGGAGGCUUGUAUGAAUGGACACACGAAAGGCCUAUUGUCUCAUUACCUUAAUUAAAAAUUAGCCCUCAGGUGAAGAGACCUGAAUCCCCUUAAAAGACAAGAAGACCCUAUUGAGUUUUACUGUACCCCUACCAUCAAUGUUGUAGUUAUACAAGCAUUGAGCAUAGAACACAGUUUGGUUGGGGCAACCAAGGACCUAAAAAAUCGUCCUUAAAACUUAAGAGCUCACCUCUUUACAUCCCAUCCACAUAUGUGAACGAGGAAUAACACUACCAUAGGGAUAACAGGCUAAUCUCCUCAGAGAGUCCACAUUGACGAGGAGGAUUGGCACCUCGAUGUUGGCUUAGGGUAUCCCUUAAAUGCAGCAGUUUAAGAAGGUUGGUUUGUUCAACCAUUAAAACCCUACGUGAUCUGAG
rnacentral:rRNA from 1 species